CGUAGAAUCCGCGCCGUUGGUGCUCGCGGCGUGGUUCACGCGCUGCGGUUCAACGGGAAGCAGGAGGGUGCCCGACCAAGGGGUGUCUAACCUGCGCUGCCCCCGCAACGGUAAGCGGCCGAAGUCCUCGCGACUUCCACUUCAACACAUCGCCACUGGCGGCCCGCAAGGCCCGCUGGGAAGGCGUUGAAGCGAGCGCCGCCAGCCCGGAUACCGGCCAACGAGGUGGUCCGCCC
rnacentral:ncRNA from 2 species